rnacentral:lncRNA from 1 species
GUUAUGUUUCCCCGCAGAAAAACUAAGUCCGUUUAUAAAAAAAAUACAGAAAAAAUAGAAUUCUAUUUUUACAAAAUUUACUUCUGCAUACUAUCGUACGAUCAUAAACAAGCUCCUGUCCAAGUUUGGUAGAAAUCCAGUAUAGUUUAAGAAAGUUAUUAAAUUUCAAAAACUUUUACCACAGAGUGAAUAUUUGUUGACGCCGCCGACGACACCGACGACGACGGAAAGUAGUCUCGUUUAGUCUCGCUUUUUCGACUAAAGUCGAAAGCUCGACAAAAAUAAUGGUGCUUUGAAAUACCGAAGACAUAUGUUUAUGACACGGAAAUAUUUUACUACAAUAAAUUGUAGGAUUAAUUACCUAUAACUGUCAAAUUCAAGGGAAUAUUUUUUUCCACCUAUUUUCGAAUACAACCGGAUGUGAAGUACCAUGAUUUGGUGGUAUUACUCCUAAAAGCAGUACAUGAUCCUCUGUUAAAAUUUCAUUAAACAGUAAGUCAACCCAAUUAAAAAUUUAAUAAAAACAACAAAACAUUCCCCAAUAAAAUUUGAUGAAAUAAGUAAAACACCCCAAGUUAAAAUUUGAUAAAAAGAGUAAAUCAUCACCAG